GGGAGCUUAGCUCAGCUGGUUCAGAGCAUCUGGUUUACACCCAGAGGGUCGGGGGUUCGAAUCCCUCAGCUCCCACAA
rnacentral:tRNA from 1 species